rnacentral:rRNA from 1 species
CCUACGGGUGGCUGCAGUGGGGAAUUUUGGACAAUGGGGGAAACCCUGAUCCAGCCAUCCCGCGUGUAUGAUGAAGGCCUUCGGGUUGUAAAGUACUUUUGGCAGAGAAGAAAAGGUAUCUCCUAAUACGAGAUACUGCUGACGGUAUCUGCAGAAUAAGCACCGGCUAACUACGUGCCAGCAGCCGCGGUAAUACGUAGGGUGCAAGCGGUAAUCGGGGUUCCUGGGCGAAGAUGUGGAAUAGCAGGGCUCAACCUUGGAACUGCAUUUUUAACUGCCGAGCUAGAGUAUGUCAGAGGGGGGUAGAAUUCCACGUGUAGCAGUGAAAUGCGUAGAGAUGUGGAGGAAUACCGAUGGCGAAGGCAGCCCCCUGGGAUAAUACUGACGCUCAGACACGAAAGCGUGGGGAGCAAACAGGAUUAGAUACCCCGGUAGUC